GCUACCAACAUUAGGUCUACCAAUUUAAGACAUUAACACAUUCACUAGUCAAUUAUGAAAGGGCUACCAACAUUAGGUCUACCAAUUCCUGAUCAUUAAGACAUUAAGUCAAGAUACAUUCAUUAUUCGUAAAGAGGAUGCCUAAGCCUACCAAUUCUAAAUUCAACAUUCACAUUAUAGAAACCCUUCACAUUCAUCAUUAUCAUUCAUGAGUGUCAUAUUGAGAAAUAGCCUUUCAAUACUAACACAAAUACAUUGAGUACAUGUUCAUUAUUCUAUCAUUGAGUCACAUGUAAAUCCUUCACAUUAUACACUCACAUAUACAAUAACAUUAUAAUGAUCACAAUGUACAUAGUAAGUAAACACCUCCACAUUUCAAGUGGAUAAACAAUUCAAGCUCAAUUCUACAUUAACAUGAAAUUAGGUCAAACUUUCCCUUUCAAGGCUAUGAUCACAAAUCCUCAAUUCACCAACAAUUCACCAUAAGUAGACAUAGAUAUUGAUACAACUAAAUAAUCUAAAUCAAUCUACACAUAAAUCCAUCAUCAUUCAAUCAUAAUCAACAAACCCACUUUAUAAGUCACAAUUUAGGAAUUGAGAGGAAUCAUGGGUUCAAGGAGAAAAA
rnacentral:lncRNA from 1 species